AGCAGCUGCAGCCGGCACCCUAAACCCUAGGCCAUUUCUUAUAUCCGUCUCUCCCCCGCUUUUCUCGCGAGGCACAGCAGCCACCGCCGCAGAGAACGGCGAUACGCCAUGACGAGCGAGCGAGUUGUGGUACCUUAGACAGUUGAUCUCUGCUGUAUUCAUGAAGCCUCGCUUGUACUCGUGAAGUUCUGCUUCCCAAGUGUCUCCUCUCUCUUUUCGUCUAUGUUCUCGAGUUGUUCGAAAGAUUUCUGUUUAUAGAGCAGCAGCCGGAAACAGAGGUUUACAAUGUGGGCUUGUGUUUACAAAGAACCUCCUGCGUAUUUUGGCUGCUGUCAAUAAUCUUGGCACUACUACGGUGCUACCUUGCUGCCUUAAGCUAUAACACCGAGUAGCUGCUGUCCAUGAAAAUAAUCUGGUUGUUGCUCAACUGUCCACCGUUUAUGCUACCAGCAUACGAAAAGAGCAAGUUUCCUAUGCAUCUGGGAUUUGGAAGUAGUAUGAGCUAGCAUUGAAAUUCGUUGAUCAACCAAACUGAUUUCGACUUGGUGAAAGUUAUGAAGAAAUAGAAAGCUAUCAGCCAAAAUUGUUCAUUCCCCUGAAAAGCUCCAGGCUAACAUGUACAUGGAUGGCAUCGAUCAUUCCUUCAGGUUGUUUGCUGAUGAACAAUCUUUCUCCAGGCUAACAUGUACAUGGAUGGCAUCGAUCAUUCCUUCAAAGAGACUGAUGAAGCUGCAGUGAUUUUGAACACUAUAGGCCAGAUUGGCUUUUGAAUGCUUGAUGUGUGGAGUGACCAUCGGGCAAUGAUAUAUAUAUUAUACACAAAGCGGGACAUUAGCACGAACUCCACGAUCCAUUCUUUUUUUUUUUGACAACAUGCAAGAUAUAUUUAUUAACUGCAGCAAGAAGCUGCUAUAAUAGAGACAGAGUUGAGGUCUACAUUAAGUAGAGCCUGAAACAAAGAACAAAUAGGUCCACAAUGGGACCCAGUACAAUUACAAUCUUGGGUUGUGAGCGGGAAGUUUUGGGCCUGUUUAGCCAAAGUGUCUGCUGUUGUGUUUUGUCUUCUGCUGAUCUUGAAGAGUUGGGCCUAAAGGAUGGCUGCGAUGUUGGAGUAUUACGCAGGUCAUCCUUCAAGCCCUACUCUUCAAGAUCAGUAAAAGACAAAACACAACAGCAGACACUUGGCUAAACAGGCCCAAAACUUCCCGCUCACAACCAAAGAUUGUAAUUGUACUGGGUCCCAUUGUGGACCUAUUUGUUCUUUGUUUCAGGCUCUACUUAAUGUAGACCUCAACUCUGUUUCUAUUAUAACAGCUUCUUGUUGCGGUUAAUAAAUAUAUUUUGCAUGUUGUCAAAAAAGAAUGGAUCGUGGACAAUAGCAUAGUUCGUGCUAAUGUCCCGCUUUGUGUAUAAUAUAUAUACCUCCACUGGAUCGUGUGUGGUCACUUUUGCAUCUCGUUUCAAGUUGUUGCUCUGAUCGUGUGGUCAGUCAAACCCCUUUGCUUCUGUACAUGCUUUGUGCACCACUAUUUUAAUUUAAUCAGUACUAAAUUGGCUGUGAAAAUGGAUAUGUUAACCGGUGAUGAGAUCUGGAUUUGCGUGGUUGCAUUCCAAGUCGUGGAGGACAAAUCUAAAGCACCACAAGUACUCUCGAGUCUCGACAAUGGGUAAUUGGGUAGGCUCAACUUUAGUCAGUCGAGACAAGAGUGCCUAGUUUGCAUCUACUGUACUGGUCUAAGGCCUUGUUUAGUUCCCAAAAAGUAUGUAAAUUUUUUUAAGAUUUUCUGUCACAUCGAA